GGAAGAGCGACGCCCCCGGUGGGGUGCCUGGUCUUCAAAACCAGUGAGGUGCCACUGAGGUGCCUGGUGGGUUCGACUCCUACCUCUUCCGCCA
rnacentral:tRNA from 1 species